AUCCCAAAAUUUUGACAAGUAAACAAACACAGGAAAUUGCAUUUUCCCACCACACGGACAGCAUACACAUGGACACAGUCUUGUACCUGUUCGACAGAAAGUCACCCCCAAAAGCAGAAGAACAACCCAUUCUUCAAACUCCAAACUGAAACUCUCUCUCUCUCUCUCUGCCUGCGUUUUCUGUUUUGAUUUUAUUUUGUACAUUUACCAAGGAUCAGGUAUGUGGAGGCGCGUGGCCUCUCUGUCGCCGCUGGUUUCUCGCUCCAAAUCACGCCUUCUCGAUCAAGUGCAGGUGGCCAAUGGAUUUAAUGUUUGGCAAGUGUUCAGUACUCAAGUUCUGAAUCCGACAGAAGGUGGAGUCUCUGAUAGAAGAAGAACCCCAUUGGUAACUUUUGUGUUGGGGGGUCCAGGGAGCGGAAAAGGUACUCAAUGUACAAGGAUUGUUGAAACCUUUGGGUUUACCCACUUAAGCGCUGGUGAUCUUUUGAGAAAAGAAAUUUCUUCUAAUAGUGAAAAUGGUUCCAUGAUUCUUAAUACAAUCAGGGAAGGGAAAAUUGUUCCCUCAGAAGUGACUGUUAAACUAAUACAAAAGGCCAUUGAAGCAAGUGAAAAUGAUAGAUUUCUUAUUGAUGGUUUUCCAAGAAGUGAAGAGAAUCGUAUAGCAUACGAACGAGUUAUUGGCGCUGAACCAGAUAUUGUGCUUUUUUUUGAUUGUCCUGUAGAAGAAAUGGUGAAACGAGUUUUAAACCGUAAUCAGGGACGAGUUGAUGAUAAUAUUGAUACAGUCAAGGAAAGGUUGAAGGUAUUUACGGAACUAAACCUUCCUGUCAUCAAGUACUACUCUGAGAAAGGAAAACUCUACAAGGUAUCAAUUUGAUUGACGCUACUGGAUCCGAAGAUGAAAUAUUUGAGAGAGUUCGCCCAGUUUUUGCUGUAUUAAGGUGAUCCUCUGAAGAUAAAUCCACUCUGUAAGUUGAGAAACUUUACAAACUUUCAAAAGAUCUUCCUUUCGGCUACCUGGUCUUUUUUUUUUGCUGACCGGCAUUAAACUGUCAUUCUUCUGAAGAACCUAUGAAUCUGUGACAAAAUAAACACUCAUCAGUCUGCUGAUCAAAGGCAGUUCUUUAUCCUUUUGCGCAUGUUUCUGCUGCUAAUCUCAAAUGGUGUGUUGUACAUAACACAACAAAGACAUGGCAUCAUACGUACUGCGCUGGAAGUAGCAUACAAAACAAACUUCAACACAAUGCAAUAGACUCAUCGCAUGCCAUCAGAAAUAAUUGAGACAUUUAUAUUUGCAUUAA